rnacentral:lncRNA from 1 species
GUGAAGUUUUAAAUACAAAUCAGGCACAUCGCUAGAAUUUGCUUUUAACCGCACACCUUCUAAGAAAUUAUAUUUUUACUCCCAGAAAAUUACCUAGGAGAAAAAAAUGACAAGAGUAAUCUAUUUUUUUCACAGCUGGUCGGUUGGCCAGAGUUUCUCAUCAAGGAGUACAUGCUGUUUGCUCCCCAGAUGGACAGCCUGGAUGAGCUACAAAUCCACAGAGCCUGGGACACAAGAAAAUGCUUGCUGACCGCUGGCAGAGAGGAAGGAGGGGUCAACUCUGAGGGAACAGGAAGGCUGCCAGAGGGUGCUGUGUCUGAACUGUGUUUAGAAGGUUGAAGAAGGCAAGUUUGAGAGAGUAUAGCUCUUCCAACUUUUAUAUAGAGUGAACCAGGAUGCAAUACAGUCGGCCUUAUAGGUGAGAAAAUGCUCCUGUGAUUUAGGAGCACUCAAAAUGCUGAAAAAACCCUCCUCUCAUCAGCACAUAUCUGGGAAUGGCACAGGCCCUGGCUAGGCCAUCCCUUCCACGUGAAAAAGCAGUGGUUCACUAGGAGAGGCAGCAGAAUGGCCCAUCAGUGGGUUACUAGGAUACCACGUGGUGUCCCUGUCUACAACCCUCUUUGUGAGGUCCAACUCCUCCCUGGGGUCUGGCCUCAGAGUUUUCAUCCCUAUUUUCCUAAAUCAUACUGAACUCUUUUCUAUUUCCAUGUGAGAGUUAUGAGUCAGAACAGAGAUACGCAAAACCAUUUCAAAUAAUUAGCUGGUUUCCAGAUCAGCAAAAUCAAUAGGAGGUGAUUAAAAUAACUGACCUCAGGAAAAAAACCAGAGAUGACAUUGAUGGGCAGGAGGUGUGUUAGUCAACCACAAAGAAAAGGAGAGAGGACAUUUUGGUCCAUCUCUCUAAGGCCUCUGUUCUUAUCAGAGGAAACAAAGGCAUAUCAGACUACCUCAGUUUAAUGUCAGAAAACAAUCUUGUUACAUAACUCUCCUUGAUCUGCUUUCAUGUUCAAGCAUCAUCUUUUUAAUUAUAAUUUGCCUUCAGGGAAAACAUAUGAUGGCCGUACUAAUUUACUCUAAUCCAAGUUACUGCUCAUAGGAAACAAUACAUUGAUCAUCUGGUGUUAUACAUCAGGCUCCUAAGUAUGGUUGGUUAGGGUCUACCCUGAGUGCCAGCUCUGUUCUCAGGCUCCAGAAUAUAAUAAAUCCGGUUUCUGGGUUAGCAGAGUGGAAGACUGGAUUGAGCUCCAGUAAAUAUAGCAACAUAAUGUUCAUUCCCUAUGAGCCUCUACCCUGCUUGCACUGUUCUUUCCAUCAACUGUGUAUCUUCAAGCCUUGCCUGAGGGUCAAGCCCAACACAUGUUGUGUUUUAUGACACUCUCUUUUUCACUCGCAGACAAUACUGUUCUCAUUGGCCUGUGAGACCCCAUUGCACAUUAUUUAUACAAACCUGUUCAGAACACUUGUAACAUUUUAUCUUGCACUACAGUUAUUUGCCCAUGGGCUAUUUUUGCCUAAACUUGAAAUUCUGAGAAAGCAGAGUUUCUUUGUGUGCCCUGUUGUACCCAGCACAAUAAAAUGCUUAAUGAACUAGUAGCAUCCUGACAGCAUUGGUAGGCACAGCAGUUAUGGUGCGCAUGCAUGUGUGUGUGUGUGUGUGUGGCGGGGAGAGGUUUCAUCUGGAGAAAGGGACUUCGCUGAGGAAGGAUACCCCCAGUUAAAAUGUCAUGGGGGUGGAGGAGGAAAAGCUGGAUAGUCAAGCAUAGAAUGAGAGCCCAGGUCUCUGAGUAAGAGCUCCCAUUGCAGACGCUGUUUUGAGUACUCUGCACACACACCAUCUCUUCAAUCCUCUUAAGGAUCCUGUGAUACUGGUGAGGUUUACUCUCCCACUUUUACAGCUGAGGAAACUCAGGGAGAUUAAGCAAUUUCCUCAGCAUUAAGUAACUAGUAGCUAGGCUGUCUGUAUGCUUCAUCCUCUUAACCACCAUGCAAAAGCUUCUUGCCAACCCUGGCCUUAGACCAGCUCCAUAUAAAGGGAGGGUGGUUUAACCAGCACCGAUCAAUGAGUCACUAGCACGAGAAUACAAAGGAAGGGAUUCUGGGCUUCAGACUCUCUGUCCAGUGCAUCGCCAAUGGUUCUUU